rnacentral:rRNA from 1 species
UACGUAGGGGGCAAGCGUUAUCCGGAUUUACUGGGUGUAAAGGGAGCGUAGACGGCGCAGCAAGUCUGAUGUGAAAGGCAGGGGCUUAACCCCUGGACUGCAUUGGAAACUGCUGCGCUUGAGUGCCGGAGGGGUAAGCGGAAUUCCUAGUGUAGCGGUGAAAUGCGUAGAUAUCACGAAGAACUCCGAUUGCGAAGGCAGCACACUAAGCCGUAACUGACGUUCAUGCUCGAAAGUGUGGGUAUCAAACAGG